CACGUAGGGCGCGAGCGUUGUCCGGAAUUAUUGGGCGUAAAGGGCGCGUAGGCGGCCACGCACGUCCGUUGUGAAAUCGCCCGGCUCAACUGGGCGGGGUCAGCGGAUACGGUGUGGCUCGAGCAAGCUAGGGGGCAAUGGAAUUCCCGGUGUAGUGGUGGAAUGCGCAGAUAUCGGGAAGAACACCCGUGGCGAAGGCGGCUCUCUGGGACGGUACUGACGCUGAGACGCGAAAGCGUGGGGAGCGAACGAGG
rnacentral:rRNA from 1 species